AGCGAACGCUGGCGGCAGGCCUAACACAUGCAAGUCGAGCGCCCCGCAAGGGGAGCGGCAGACGGGAGAGUAACACGUGGGAACGUACCCUUCAGUACGGAACAACCAAGGGAAACUUUGGCUAAUACCGUAUACGUCCGUAAGGAGAAAGAUUUAUCGCUGAAGGAUCGGCCCGCGUCUGAUUAGCUAGUUGGUGAGGUAACGGCUCACCAAGGCGACGAUCAGUAGCUGGUCUGAGAGGAUGAUCAGCCUCACUGGGACUGAGACACGGCCCAGACUCCUACGGGAGGCAGCAGUGGGGAAUAUUGGACAAUGGGCGCAAGCCUGAUCCAGCCAUGCCGCGUGGGUGAUGAAGGCCCUAGGGUUGUAAAGCCCUUUCGGCGGGGAAGAUAAUGACGGUACCCGCAGAAGAAGCCCCGGCUAACUUCGUGCCAGCAGCCGCGGUAACAC
rnacentral:rRNA from 1 species